GUGCUCAUUUCAGCAGCACUUAUACUAAAAUUGGAACAAUACAGAGAGGGUAGCAUGGCUCCUGCACAAGGAUGACGUACAAAUUCAUGAAGUGUUCCAUAUUUAA